UGUGAGUUUAACACUUCAUGACUGAGAGCAGAACAGAACACAAUCUUCAUCAUCAUACAAGACAAGACAAAAACAAUGAACAACAUCAUCAUCUGGACUCUCACACUCUUUGCUCAAGAGUGUAGAGGACAGUACACCUUAACUCAGAGUCCAUCAAUAACAGCAGCUCAACCAGGACAAGAAGUCAGAAUAAAUUGUAAAACCAGCAGUAAUGUCUACAGUGAUAGUUAUGGGUCACGGAUGGCAUGGUACUUGCAGAAACCUGGAGAAGCUCCUAAAGUCCUCAUUUAUUACAUAAACAGCCUCCAGUCAGGAACUCCAUCUAGAUUCAGUGGCAGUGGAUCUAACAGUGAUUUCACUCUGACCAUCAGUGGAGUCCAGACUGAAGAUACAGGAGAUUAUUACUGUCAGAGUGUACACUUUCCAAACAGUAAACGUGUGUUCACACAGUGAUAAAGAGUCGUACAAAAACCUCCGUCAGUCAGAGUCACAGUGACUGCACUGAUACAGCUGAGAGAUACUGCAGCUGCUGAUCAGAAGAUG